UACAGAGGUCUCAAGCGUUGUUCGGAUUCAUUGGGCGUAAAGGGUGCGUAGGUGGCGCCGUAAGUCGGGUGUGAAAUUUCGGAGCUUAACUCCGAAACUGCAUUCGAUACUGCGGUGCUUGAGGACUGGAGAGGAGACUGGAAUUCAUGGUGUAGCAGUGAAAUGCGUGGAGAUCAUGAGGAAGACCAGUGGCGAAGGCGGGUCUCUGGACAGUUCCUGACACUGAGGCACGAAGGCCAGGGGAGCAAACGGG
rnacentral:rRNA from 1 species